rnacentral:misc_RNA from 1 species
CGAGCGUCAUUAUAACCCUCAAGCCCAGCUUGGUGUUGGGGCCUGCCGCCCGCGGCAGCCCCUAAAAUCAGUGGCGGUGCCUACCUCUGGCUCUAAGCGUAGUAAAUCUUCUCGCUAUAGGGUCUGGUAGAUGCUGGCCAACAACCCCCAAUUUUUCUAUGGUUGACCUCGGAUCAGGUAGGGAUACCCGCUGAACUUAA